rnacentral:rRNA from 1 species
CCUACGGGUGGCAGCAGUGGGGAAUAUUGGACAAUCGGCGAAAGCCUGAUCCAGCCAUGCCGCGUGUGUGAAGAAGGCCUUCGGGUUGUAAAGCACUUUCAGUGGGGAAGAAAGCCUUGGGGCUAAUACCCUCGAGGAAGGACAUCACCCACAGAAGAAGCACCGGCUAACUCCGUGCCAGCAGCCGCGGUAAUACGGAGGGUGCGAGCGUUAAUCGGAAUUACUGGGCGUAAAGCGCGCGUAGGCGGUCUGAUAAGCCGGUUGUGAAAGCCCCGGGCUCAACCUGGGAACGGCAUCCGGAACUGUCAGGCUAGAGUGCAGGAGAGGAAGGUAGAAUUCCCGGUGUAGCGGUGAAAUGCGUAGAGAUCGGGAGGAAUACCAGUGGCGAAGGCGGCCUUCUGGACUGACACUGACGCUGAGGUGCGAAAGCGUGGGUAGCAAACAGGAUUAGAUACCCUAGUAGUC